rnacentral:rRNA from 1 species
ACGCUGGCGGCGUGCCUAUACAUGCAAGUCGAACGAACUCUGGUAUUGAUUGGUGCUUGCAUCAUGAUUUACAUUUGAGUGAGUGGCGAACUGGUGAGUAACACGUGGGAAACCUGCCCAGAAGCGGGGGAUAACACCUGGAAACAGAUGCUAAUACCGCAUAACAACUUGGACCGCAUGGUCCGAGYUUGAAAGAUGGCUUCGGCUAUCACUUUUGGAUGGUCCCGCGGCGUAUUAGCUAGAUGGUGNGGUAACGGCUCACCAUGGCAAUGAUACGUAGCCGACCUGAGAGGGUAAUCGGCCACAUUGGGACUGAGACACGGCCCAAACUCCUACGGGAGGCAGCAGUAGGGAAUCUUCCACAAUGGACGAAAGUCUGAUGGAGCAACGCCGCGUGAGUGAAGAAGGGUUUCGGCUCGUAAAACUCUGUUGUUAAAGAAGAACAUAUCUGAGAGUAACUGUUCAGGUAUUGACGGUAUUUAACCAGAAAGCCACGGCUAACUACGUGCCAGCAGCCGCGGUAAUACGUAGGUGGCAAGCGUUGUCCGGAUUUAUUGGGCGUAAAGCGAGCGCAGGCGGUUUUUUAAGUCUGAUGUGAAAGCCUUCGGCUCAACCGAAGAAGUGCAUCGGAAACUGGGAAACUUGAGUGCAGAAGAGGACAGUGGAACUCCAUGUGUAGCGGUGAAAUGCGUAGAUAUAUGGAAGAACACCAGUGGCGAAGGCGGCUGUCUGGUCUGUAACUGACGCUGAGGCUCGAAAGUAUGGGUAGCAAACAGGAUUAGAUACCCUGGUAGUCCAUACCGUAAACGAUGAAUGCUAAGUGUUGGAGGGUUUCCGCCCUUCAGUGCUGCAGCUAACGCAUUAAGCAUUCCGCCUGGGGAGUACGGCCGCAAGGCUGAAACUCAAAGGAAUUGACGGGGGCCCGCACAAGCGGUGGAGCAUGUGGUUUAAUUCGAAGCUACGCGAAGAACCUUACCAGGUCUUGACAUACUAUGCAAAUCUAAGAGAUUAGACGUUCCCUUCGGGGACAUGGAUACAGGUGGUGCAUGGUUGUCGUCAGCUCGUGUCGUGAGAUGUUGGGUUAAGUCCCGCAACGAGCGCAACCCUUAUUAUCAGUUGCCAGCAUUAAGUUGGGCACUCUGGUGAGACUGCCGGUGACAAACCGGAGGAAGGUGGGGAUGACGUCAAAUCAUCAUGCCCCUUAUGACCUGGGCUACACACGUGCUACAAUGGAUGGUACAACGAGUUGCGAACUCGCGAGAGUAAGCUAAUCUCUUAAAGCCAUUCUCAGUUCGGAUUGUAGGCUGCAACUCGCCUACAUGAAGUCGGAAUCGCUAGUAAUCGCGGAUCAGCAUGCCGCGGUGAAUACGUUCCCGGGCCUUGUACACACCGCCCGUCACACCAUGAGAGUUUGUAACACCCAAAGUCGGUGGGGUAACCUUUUAGGAACCAGCCGCCUAAGGUGG